rnacentral:rRNA from 1 species
GACGAACGCUGGCGGCGUGCCUAAUACAUGCAAGUAGAACGCAGUUGCGAACGGGUGCGUAACGCGUAGGUAACUGCCUGGUUGCGGGGGAUAACACUUGGACACGAUAGCUAAUACCGCAUACUACCAGAUGGACCUGCGUUGUAUUCGAUAGUUGGUGAGGUAACGGCUCACCAAGGCAACGAUACACAGCCGACCUGAGAGGGUGAUCGGCCACACUGGGACUGAGACACGGCCCAGACUCCUACGGGAGGCAGCAGUAGGGAAUCUUCGGCAAUGGGGGGAACCCGGAACGAGCAACGCCGCGUGAGUGAAGAAGGUUUUCGGAUCGUAAAGCUCUGUUGUUAAGGAAGCGGUACUUAACCAGAAAGGGACGGCUAACUACGUGCCAGCAGCCGCGGUAAUAC